GCUAUGCAGCUGGUUUGAGCCUUAUCUUCUUGGUGAUUUUUGGAAGGUAAAUCAUUUGGGCUCAUGAGGAACAGAGGAGCCAAACCACUAUUGAGAAGAUUGCUGUUCACCAUUUUGACAACCACACAAGCCACAGAUGAUACUCUCAGAUUCUAAAGCCUGCCUCCAUUCUCUGGCUGUGGCCCCUUCCUCCAUCUUCAAAUCUAGCAAUUCUGCGAAAAUCUUUCUUAUGAUGCAUUUCUCUGGUUCCAACUCCUCUGCCUCCCCUUUCACCAUUUAAGGACCCUCUGAUUAAACUGGACUCACCCAGAAAAUCCAGGGUAAUCUUUUCAUUUUAACAUCAGCUGAUUGGCAACCUUGCUUCCAUCUGCUACCUGAAUUCCCUUAGCCAUGUAAGGUAAUAUAUUCACAAGUUCUGGAGAAGAAGACAUGUACUUCUUUGGAGUGACAGAGGGACUAGCUACUACACACUGGAAGAAUCAAAUAUUCAAUAUGAGGAUAUUGACACAAGGAAGAACACAUACAAGAAUUUUAUGUAAAAGGGGUCUAAGAAUGACCAGGAGUUAAUGCGGUAAAGAGAGCAUGAAAGAACAUUUCAAUCCCCAGGAACAGUGCGAGCAAAGGAAUGAAGUGAAGAGAGGAAAUCAAGUCUGGGUUAUCGGACUUACUGCUGAGUGAUUUUACAGCUUGGAAGUAACACUUCUCUGGUAGCCAGGUUCUCCAGAAGUGUGCUUGUGAGCUCACAGGUUUGUCAUUGGUUCUGUUUAGGGUCCAAUGUUGCAUGUCAUUCAUUCUCUUCUUUCCUCCAGACGGGAAGUUCUCAAUUAGUGUUACAAUGGGAUGGGACCCAUAUAUUGGAAAUAAA
rnacentral:lncRNA from 1 species